GGGAAAGUCUACCCAAUUCCGACGAUUUCCUUCCAUACUCGGCAAGCAGCAGCUGGUUUGGGACUCUGCGAGGAGGAUCACUUCAUUGCCUUCACGAGCGGGAUCACGUCCUCCAUUACGAGCUUGUACAAAAGCUUAGAAGGCUACCCUACCCUCUUAGCUACUCCACUAUAUGAAUUGGCUCGUAUCCCAUAGCCCGCCGAAAUUGGAGUACGGCCCCCAUCUCAGUCAGAGCAGACAUACUCAAAAGAGGAAUGCAUCAUUCAUACAUAGAAUUCGACAAAUGCGCAUUUCUUCCCUAUUUGUGAUUCAUGUAGUGUAGUCAGGAGCAAAGGCAGGGAUUAUUGGUGAAUCGAGCUCGUGGACCGACCGAGUUUCACCCGCAGCAGAUCGAGACAAAGAUCCAAUCCUAUCCAAUCCAGAUAUGGUUCGGAUUCGAUAAGCGGCAGCGGACCCAGGGGCACAAGCUGGAAAGGGAUGAAGAUGUAAGACCCUACUAACAAUCUUCCUUCAUUAGGCAGCGGUGAUGGAGCCUGCUACGAUUCGGAUUAUGCGCUGGACGGUGAAAAUGAACUUGCUUUUGGUAAACUGGCAUUGGUUCAACUAACUGGCUGCUAUUGAUAUCUGAGCCCGAGCCUUUGCAUUGAAUUUAGAGUUCCGUUCCGAACUUAAGUUCUAUUCCGUACCGUCAGCCCCCGGAUCUCUUUUAGCAGGGUCAACGAGUGAUGGUCCACCUCCCAUUGGCUACUGAAGCCCGAGUAUCAAACUGCUGAAAGCUAUGGUGAAAAUGCCUCUAUCCCUGCUUAUGGUAUGGUGCUGGUGGAUCGACAACAGGGUCUGGGGCUCUGUAUAAAUAGAAGGAAAUGGGCUCUGGUCAUAGCCCCCGCUUCCGCAUCUUUUGUUCCCGCUCUAGCUAACCAAGCUUACACCACCCUUGUUUGUGCUUCCUGCGCUUCUCUUCUCAUUUCAUGUAGUGUAGUCAGGGGCUGUACCUAGUGUAGGCGAAUGAAACAACUGCCUCUCCCUCUCCCGUCCAUCUAAGAGUUCUAUUUCCUCCAGCUCCCUCCGAUGCCGGCAGAUUCAUUCCCCAACCAAGCCAAUCGAUUCCAUUGGUGAGAAAAUGGCUGAUGCGAACUAGGUAGUGCUACUGAAACCACUGGUAUAGUUUGUGCAUCUUCCGUUGCCGGGAGAGAAAGACGUGUUGGGUCAGUCCGGCCCGUCACGCUUGCUAAUACGGUCCGCCCGGCGCACCGUCCGAAUGAUCUAUUUUCCGACCCAUAGUUCCCUUUUCAGUCCGUGAGAAAUCGACCAAGUAGGGAGUUGCAUAUUCCAUCGGGGCGUUGCGCUUGCUUCAAGAUUGUGAGUCAAGUAAGACAAGUAACGCUUUCGAAUGGGUGUAUAUCGAGUAUAGCAUAUGGAUAUGAGAAUCAGGUGUGCGGGAUGCACUUCUUGUGUGAGCCCCCCUGCAACUAGAUACGAGAGACUUGCUUACUGGCCACGUGCCCCAUGAGACUCGGGUUCAAUUGAACGAGCAAGGAAGAAAGUGAGCCCCAACGACAAACGAACGUAUUUGCUGACUUCAGCGUCACAUCAAGGUGACAGGAUUCGAACCUAUGGCCCUCUGUACCCAAAACAGAUGCGCUGACCAGACUGCGCUACACCUCGUCUCACCACCCCGGAGCAUAUAGAUCCACCCGAUCGAUGAACACUCAAACCGAACUCGCCCAUCCUUUUGGGCACAGGGACGCGAGAACCCAUCCGAGUAAUCCACCGCUUUUUUUAUAAAAUCUGCCUCCUGCAAUAUAGGGCGACGCCAAAAAGCCGUAUAGUGCAGGAGCUGUUAAGCCUCGACCGAUAGGGAGAGCAGCGCUACUACUGCUUUUGUUUUGGCUUACUCUUUCACUUUGAUUUCAAAAUCCGGCUCGCUCCCGGCUACGUGUCCUUUGGACCAAAAGCCCGCUUAGAAGUGGAUUCGAACCACUGACACAAGGAUUUUCAGUCCUUUGCUCUAACCAGCUGAGCUACCUGAACCACUUUCCUAAAGUCUGUUUUCUUCAUCGAAUAGCGCCCUACCUUACCACUUGAUUAGUAAGGGAAAAGAAAGCCCUUUACUAAAAAAAAGAGUGAGGGCUUUUUCGCUUGUUCGUCAAGCUUUCGAGCAGCUCUUUCAACUGCCGCCUAAUCCCCCAACAUGCUCAAGAACCGAGAGCCGUCCAGUCCCUUCCCGGCCGGAGGGAGCUUGCUUAUAGAAAGAAGAUAGGCCGGUCAAACAAAAACAAGGCGCAACGGGCUCUCCGCUCCGUCUCACUAAGUAGUGCUAUUCUGUCCUCCGGGGGGUCCACCAAGAGGUUCUUUCUCUCACGUAAUUUCGCCCGCCCGUUCCACUUCCGUGCCGGAGGAAAUGGGAUUCGAACCCAUGAUACAAUCUUCUUGUAUGUCGAUUUAGCAAACCAAUGCCUUAAGCCACUCAGCCAUACCUCCAAGUUGUUGAUCGGAAUGG
rnacentral:lncRNA from 1 species